rnacentral:rRNA from 1 species
GUGCGUAGGCGGUUAGUUAAGUCUGUUGUGAAAUCCCCGGGCUCAACCUGGGAAUGGCAAUGGAAACUGGCUAGCUAGAGUGUGUCAGAGGAUGGUGGAAUUUCCGGUGUAGCGGUGAAAUGCGUAGAGAUCGGAAGGAACAUCAGUGGCGAAGGCGGCCAUCUGGGACAACACUGACGCUGAAGCACGAAAGCGUGGGAGCAAACA